UACGGGGGGGGCAAGCGUUGUUCGGAAUUACUGGGCGUAAAGGGCGCGUAGGCGGCCCGCUAAGUCGAACGUGAAAUCCCCGAGCUCAACCUGGGAACUGCAUCCGAUACUGGAUGGCUUGAAUCCGGGAGAGGGAUGCAGAAUUCCAGGUGUAGCGGUGAAAUUCGUAGAUAUUGGGAAGAACACCGGUGGCGAAGGCGGCGACCUGGUCCGUGACUGACGCUGAGGCGCGAAAGCGUGGGGAGCAAACAGG
rnacentral:rRNA from 1 species